GAUGAACGCUAGCUACAGGCUUAACACAUGCAAGUCGAGGGGCAGCAUGACCUAGCAAUAGGUUGAUGGCGACCGGCGCACGGGUGAGUAACACGUAUCCAACCUGCCGAUUAUUCCGGGAUAGCCUUUCGAAAGAAAGAUUAAUACUGGAUAGCAUAACGAGAAGGCAUCUUCUUGUUAUUAAAGAAUUUCGAUAAUCGAUGGGGAUGCGUUCCAUUAGUUUGUUGGCGGGGUAACGGCCCACCAAGACAUCGAUGGAUAGGGGUUCUGAGAGGAAGGUCCCCCACAUUGGAACUGAGACACGGUCCAAACGCCUACGGGAGGCAGCAGUGAGGAAUAUUGGUCAAUGGACGAGAGUCUGAACCAGCCAAGUAGCGUGAAGGAUGACUGCCCUAUGGGUUGUAAACUCCUUUUAUAUGGGAAUAAAGUGGGCCACGUGUGGCUUUUUGUAUGUACCAUACGAAUAAGGAUCGGCUAACUCCGUG
rnacentral:rRNA from 1 species